ensembl:lncRNA
GGUUGGGGGGGGGGGCAGAAACAGAGGGGUUGUUUGCCUAAGAUUUAAUUUAAGAUGCUCCUUUUCCAUCAGCCGAGAGGUAGGAGCUCAUAGUCUCUCAGGUUAUUGAUUCAUGGAGGGGGAUUGUAUAUCGUGCAGCGCUUUGGUGGGGCGUGUUUGAAGGAUGAGAGCAAUUUCCUCCCAAACAAAGUUGACUUUAGGAGUCUACUUUUCAAGGAACCAUUUUUUGCGCUCCGAAACAAAUUCAAUGCAGUCUCUGUUGGUUCAACAAACCCAUUGAAUCGUGAUGUGAAGAGCUGGGACUUGGAGCCGCAGUAGAAAACGCCUGAAGGUAGAAGAGCACCGAACAAGGAUUAUCUGGGUGGAAACCGCCGACCUGCGAGUUGGGGAUCUUCGUGUGUGAGGAUGUCAGUGUUUUCGCCUCGCUGACCGCAAUGUGCUUCUCUGGGUAGCCCCCGGGCAGCGUUCCUCCUCUCUGAAAUCGCCACCUCCUCUUCCCCUCCCCCUCCCCUAUCCUUCCUCCUCUCCCCCUAUCCCUCCCCCAUCUCAUUUAGUCCCACCAACCACCAGCUGCUCCAUGGAUCCCCUGUGUCCGAGUAAUGGUGUGAGCCGGACACAGGCCCGCACCUCCGGCCAACUGUAGCCCCCCACCCCAGCCCCCCUCGGUCCCAUUAUUUUUUUAUUUUUUUGUACUGGCUUAUUUUUUCUCACAAUCCCUGGAGUUUAUUCUUGUUUGGAACCAGGGAUGGAUGUACCAUUGGAGGCCAGCAAGCAUGGCAAGAAGACGACCAGUCAAAAGCUGGAAGACCAGAAGAAGUUCUGUUUCUCUGGAGCAGCGCAUUGCUGUCUCGCCACACAGACAAGCUUCUGUUGUGUUUGGUUGUUCACGCCAGAGAUAUGUAUACAGAGAGAGGAAGACCUCUCUCCUCAGACACACCAUCUCCAGGGAGGCCAGCUUGAAGAGCCAGUUAUACUCCUCAGGUUCCAGAGGAAACACUCUGAUUGCUGAUGACCUGUCCUUCCCACCAUCCUGCUGACCAGAUGCAGCAGGAAACCGACCACAGAGCCCAAGUCACCAGGAAAUCAAAUAAAGUACUAACUGCAGUAUUUGUUUGUCUUUGAUGUGCCUGUGACGAAUGCAGAAUAUGAGCUGAGCGGAAAAGGCUGAUUUUAGCUGUGAAUAAAAACACCUGUAUUGGGAACAUGGUGAAGUUAUAUGUCACUGAAGUGUGAGGCGGAGAGCUGACAAGCAGGUGGGAUGAGGUUAUUAACCCCUAUUGUCCAUACACCAGGUGGGAUGAGGUUAUUAACCCCUAUUGUCCAUACACUAGGGGGGAUGAGGUUAUUAACCCCUAUUGUCCAUACACUAGGGGGGAUGAGGUUAUUAACCCCUGUUGUCCAUACACCAGAUGGGAUGAGGUUAGCCCUAUGGUUCAUACACCAGAUGGGAUGAGGUUAGCCCUAUGGUUCAUACACCAGGUGGGAUGAGGUUAGCCCUAUGGUUCAUACACCAGAUGGGAUGAGGUUAGCCUUAUAGUUCAUACACCAGAUGGGAUGAGGUUAACCCUAUAGUUCAUACACCAGAUGGGAUGAGGUUAGCUCUAUAGUUCAUACACCAGAUGGGAUGAGGUUAGCCCUAUAGUUCAUACACCAGAUGGGAUGAGGUUAGCCCUGUAGUGCAUACACUGGAUGGGAUGAGGUUAGCCCUAUAGUGCAUACACUGGAUGGGAUGAGGUUAGCCCUAUAGUUCAUACACCAGAUGGGAUGAGGUUAGCCCUAUAGUGCAUACACUGGAUGGGAUGAGGUUAACCCUAUAGUUCAUACACCAGAUGGGAUGAGGUUAGCCCUAUAGUUCAUACACCAAAUGGGAUGAGGUUAGCCCUAUGGUUCAUACACCAGAUGGGUUGAGUUUAGCCCUGUAGUUCAUAUACAGAACCAGAUGGACUGCUCUCCUACACACUUUGUGUUUCUUAUUAAAACAAUGGCCACUAAGUGUGUAUAUGUGUUUACACACUAAGUGUUGAUAUGCCUCUUCUGCAUAUAAAACAGUUUCUUAUAGU